rnacentral:tRNA from 1 species
GCGAGUGUGGCGGAAUCGGUAGACGCGCUGGCCUCAAAAGCCAGUAUCCAUAAAGGAUGUAGGGGUUCGACUCCCCUUGCUCGCACCA